AAAUCCCUCGGGAUGUAAACUUCGCAAGAGUAGGAAGAAUAAAUAGGGGUUAAUACCCCCUAUGAUGACGGUACUAUUUGUAAGCUCCGGCUAACUCCGUGC
rnacentral:rRNA from 1 species